ACGUAGGGUCCAAGCGUUAUCCGGAAUCACUGGGCGUAAAGCGUGCGUAGGUGGUCUGUUAAGUGAGGUAUUAAAGCGUGUGGCUCAACCAUAUCGUUGUGUCUCAUACUGGCAGACUAGAGGACGGCAGAGGCAAGUGGAAUUACUAGUGUAGCAGUGAAAUGCGUAGAUAUUAGUAGGAACACCAAUGGCGAAGGCAGCUUGCUGGGCCGCCCCUGACACUGAGGUACGAAAGCGUGGGGAGCGAACAGGAUUAGAUACCCUGGUAGUCCACGCCGUAAACGAUGCAAACUAUUAGUAUGGGGUAUCGACCCCCUGUGCUGAGAAGCUAACGCGUUAAGUUUGCCGCCUGGGAAGUACGGCCGCAAGGCUA
rnacentral:rRNA from 1 species